CACCACUCAAGCCUCGCUUGGUAUUGGGCGCCGCGGUGUUCCGCGCGCCUCAAAGUCUCCGGCUGAGCUGUCCGUCUCUAAGCGUUGUGAUUUCAUUAAUCGCUUCGGAGCGCGGGCGGUCGCGGCCGUUAAACACCCCAUCACA
rnacentral:misc_RNA from 1 species